rfam:Gossypium arboreum cultivar AKA8401 contig_12732_3, whole genome shotgun sequence.
GGCGGUGAUGAUUAUAGAAAUUUAAAUCUCUUUAACCUGAUUCGUAAAUCUGAGGAUGAAACUUUCCAUCCAUUCUUAAACAUUUUUUGAGC